GCAGACUUUGUGAUUCGUAAAAUUCUUUGGUUGGUGCAAAAUAGAAUUUUUCUAAAAGUAAUUAAAUAUUUAUAUUGUCAAAUAAGGGCACCAGCAAUGGUCAUUUGGCCUCCGUGUUCAUGCUUAUAAUUAUAUGUGAUUCUUACAUAUUUCAAUUACUAUGCUUGUUUUGUUAUGUGUAAGUUCAAGUUCUCUUUUAUGUUAUUGGUCUAACUAUUCUUUUACUGCCUUAAAAAUGACUUGCAUCUUUCAUAAUGAAUUGUCGCUGAUUGGAUGAAUUUUC
rnacentral:lncRNA from 7 species